rnacentral:misc_RNA from 1 species
ACAAAGCUUGAAGUUCGCUCAACCGCGUCUUCAACAAAUCCAUCCACACCUUGUGCAAUAUUGACAUCGAGGCAAGUUCUUUCGGGAAUUUGCUGGUCUUGUGGGGGGAAAAACCUAAAGGAGAGGGCAGCAAUGCUUCACCUUUAAGCCCCCCAAAAGUAUUUAACCUAUACGUUUUUUGUUUGUCUGAAACUUUUUAUUGUAUCAAUAAAAA